CUGAUCCAGCCAUGCCGCGUGAGUGAUGAAGGCCCUAGGGUUGUAAAGCUCUUUUGUGCGGGAAGAUAAUGACGGUACCGCAAGAAUAAGCCCCGGCUAACUUCGUGCCAGCAGCCGCGGUAAUACGAAGGGGGCUAGCGUUGCUCGGAAUCACUGGGCGUAAAGGGUGCGUAGGCGGGUCUUUAAGUCAGGGGUGAAAUCCUGGAGCUCAACUCCAGAACUGCCUUUGAUACUGAAGAUCUUGAGUUCGGGAGAGGUGAGUGGAACUGCGAGUGUAGAGGUGAAAUUCGUAGAUAUUCGCAAGAACACCAGUGGCGAAGGCGGCUCACUGGCCCGAUACUGACGCUGAGGCACGAAAGCGUGGGGAGCAAACA
rnacentral:rRNA from 1 species